rnacentral:rRNA from 1 species
AACGUGUCGCGAUGGAUGACUUGGCUUCCUAUUUCGUUGAAAAACGCAGUAAAGUGCGAUAAGUGGUAUCAAUUGCAAAAUCAUUCAAUUACCGAAUCUUUGAACGCAAACGGCGCAGGGGAAAAGCUCUAUUGGGUCAUCCCCGUGCAUGCCAUAUUCUCAGUGUCAA